AACUCUAGAGAUAGAGCCUUCCCCUUCGGGGGACAAAGUGACAGGUGGUGCAUGGUUGUCGUCAGCUCGUGUCGUGAGAUGUUGGGUUAAGUCCCGCAACGAGCGCAACCCUUAAGCUUAGUUGCCAUCAUUAAGUUGGGCACUCUAAGUUGACUGCCGGUGACAAACCGGAGGAAGGUGGGGAUGACGUCAAAUCAUCAUGCCCCUUAUGAUUUGGGCUACACACGUGCUACAAUGGACAAUACAAAGGGCAGCGAAACCGCGAGGUCAAGCAAAUCCCAUAAAGUUGUUCUCAGUUCGGAUUGUAGUCUGCAACUCGACUACAUGAAGCUGGAAUCGCUAGUAAUCGUAGAUCAGCAUGCUACGGUGAAUACGUUCCCGGGUCUUGUACACACCGCCCGUCACACCACGAGAGUUUGUAACACCCGAAGCCGGUGGAGUAACCUUUUAGGAGCUAGCCGUCGAAGGUGGGACAAAUGAUUGGGGUGAAGUCGUAACAAGGUAGCCGUAUCGGAAGGUGCGGCUGGAUCACCUCCUUU
rnacentral:rRNA from 1 species